CUGCCCAUCAGAAGGGGAUAACACUUGGAAACAGGUGCUAAUACCGUAUAACACUAUUUUCCGCAUGGAAGAAAGUUGAAAGGCGCUUUUGCGUCACUGAUGGAUGGACCCGCGGUGCAUUAGCUAGUUGGUGAGGUAACGGCUCACCAAGGCCACGAUGCAUAGCCGACCUGAGAGGGUGAUCGGCCACACUGGGACUGAGACACGGCCCAGACUCCUACGGGAGGCAGCAGUAGGGAAUCUUCGGCAAUGGACGAAAGUCUGACCGAGCAACGCCGCGUGAGUGAAGAAGGUUUUCGGAUCGUAAAACUCUGUUGUUAGAGAAGAACAAGGAUGAGAGUAAAAUGUUCAUCCCUUGACGGUAUCUAACCAGAAAGCCACGGCUAACUACGUGCUAGCAGCCGCGGUAAUACGUAGGUGGCAAGCGUUGUCCGGAUUUAUUGGGCGUAAAGCGAGCGCGGGCGGUUUCUUAAGUCUGAUGUGAAAGCCCCCGGCUCAACCGGGGAGGGUCAUUGGAAACUGGGAGACUUGAGUGCAGAAGAGGAGAGUGGAAUUCCAUGUGUAGCGGUGAAAUGCGUAGAUAUAUGGAGGAACACCAGUGGCGAAGGCGGCUCUCUGGUCUGUAACUGACGCUGAGGCUCGAAAGCGUGGGGAGCGAACAGGAUUAGAUACCCUGGUAGUCCACGCCGUAAAC
rnacentral:rRNA from 1 species